rnacentral:lncRNA from 1 species
UCUUAUGCCAUGUUGGAAGAUGUAUGCUCUCUUAUAUCAAUCACUGGCUUCUCAUAUUGCUGCUGCUCCUUGAUUUCCUCUGCUUUGAACUAGUCCAGACACUCGAGAUCAGUUCGAACUAUACUAGGUAUGCAGCACCAAGAUCAGCUCAAACUUUUUAUAACAUGCUUGUAGCAUCAAGACAUUCUAUCGUGAUUAAUAUGAUUAUCUGAGGAUUAAUAAAUCAACUCUAUGCUAGGAAUUGCUUGCACAAAGGGUAUAAAUUGAAGUAUGAAUGCCUUCCUGAUAUAAUUGCCUUGCAUAUUUUGCAUUCAUUAGUAUUGUCUUCGCAUUAUUUGGUGCAGGACGAUUGACCGAAAAUGACUUCACACUUGCUACCAAGAUCAAUGGUCUCAAUUAUUACAAGGAAAGCACUGCCUAGUUCGGUAAGC